rnacentral:sRNA from 1 species
AUCCUUGCCGGGGCUGCGGAACAUCAGCACCGGUUCAUCCGUCAU